GAUGAACGCUAGCGGCAGGCCUAAUACAUGCAAGUCGAACGAUGUCUUCGGACAUAGUGGCGCACGGGUGCGUAACACGUAUGCAACCUACCUUACAUUGGGGGAUAGCCUUUCGAAAGGGAGAUUAAUACCGCAUAAGACAGUAGCUGGGCAUCCAGCAGCUGUUAAAGAUUUAUCGAUGUAAGUUGGGCAUGCGUCCAAUUAGCUAGUUGGUGAGGUAACGGCUCACCAAGGCAAUGAUUGGUAGGGGAACUGAGAGGUCAAUCCCCCACACUGGCACUAAGAUACGGGCCAGACUCCUACGGGAGGCAGCAGUAGGGAAUAUUGGGCAAUGGACGCAAGGCUGACCCAGCCAUGCCGCGUGCAGGAUGAAGGCGUUAUGCGUUGUAAACUGCUUUUAUACAGGAAGAAACGACUCUUGCGAGAGGCAUUGACGGUACUGUAUGAAUAAGCACGGGCUAACUCCGUGCCAGCCGCCGCAGUAAAAC
rnacentral:rRNA from 1 species